rnacentral:rRNA from 1 species
CAGUCGCCGCGGGAAUACGGAGGGUGCAAGCGUUAAUCGGAAUUACUGGGCGAAAAGCGCACGCAGGCGGUUUGUUAAGUCAGAUGUGAAAUCCCCGAGCUUAACUUGGGAACUGCAUUUGAAACUGGCAAGCUAGAGUCUUGUAGAGGGGGGUAGAAUUCCAGGUGUAGCGGUGAAAUGCGUAGAGAUCUGGAGGAAUACCGGUGGCGAAGGCGGCCCCCUGGACAAAGACUGACGCUCAGGUGCGAAAGCGUGGGGAGCAAACAGGAUUAGAUACCCCUGUAGUCCCUGUCUCUUAUAC